rnacentral:rRNA from 1 species
GUGGGGAAUCUUCCACAAUGGACGAAAGUCUGAUGGAGCAACGCCGCGUGAGUGAAGAAGGGUUUCGGCUCGUAAAGCUCUGUUGUCGGGGACGAAUGUGCAGUAUUUGAAUAAAGUAGUGCAAUGACGGUACCUGACGAGGAAGCCACGGCUAACUACGUGCCAGCAGCCGCGGUAAUACGUAGGUGGCAAGCGUUGUCCGGAAUUAUUGGGCGUAAAGGGAGCGCAGGCGGGAAGGUAAGUCGGUCUUAAAAGUGCGGGGCUCAACCCCGUGAUGGGAUCGAAACUAUCUUUCUUGAGUGCAGGAGAGGAAAGUGGAAUUCCUAGUGUAGCGGUGAAAUGCGUAGAUAUUAGGAGGAACACCAGUGGCGAAGGCGACUUUCUGGACUGUAACUGACGCUGAGGCUCGAAAGCCAGGGGAGCGAACGGGAUUAGAUACCCCAGUAGUCC